UACGUAGGGGCCUAGCGUUGUCCGGAUUUAUUGGGCGUAAAGAGCUCGUAGGCGGUUCGGUAAGUCAGGUGUGAAAUCUCCACGCUCAACGUGGAGGCGCCACCUGAAACUGCCGUGACUCGAGUCCGGUAGGGGAGUGUGGAAUUCCCGGUGUGAGCGGUGAAAUACGUAGAUAUCUGGAGGAACACCGGUGGCGAAGGCGGCUACCUGGCCCAACAUUGACACUGAGACCCGAAAGCGUGGGGAUCAAACAGG
rnacentral:rRNA from 1 species